AUGCGGCGGGGUCGGGGCGCGGGGCUGGCGGUGCUGGCCGCGGUGCUGCUCGCAGUGGCAGCAGACACAGAGCGAGUGCAGCAGCAGCCACGGGAAGACACCAGCGAGGGCACGGGCCUGAACCUCACUUGCUUGCACCCCAAAAUUACCGCAGAUGCUACUCACUGGUAUCGGCAAUUCCCAGGCCAACCACCCCAGCUGAUAACAACGGCUGUCCGAGGCACAAAGCCAGUGCGGGAUCCUGUGGGGAGUCUGUGGGUGUCGGAAGAUCGCAAAUCCAGUGCUCUGUACCUCGCUCGGCCCCGGCGCGGGGACGCGGCCGUGUAUUACUGCGCGCUGG